GAGAUAGGAUUACUAUUGGCCAACCAUGCAGAAAGAUUCUAAAGAUUACGUGCGGUGGUGUGAUAAGUACCAAAAAAAUUCCAACAUACCAUGACUGCCCACCAUGCCUAUCACUCCUAUCUGCACCCCUUGACCAUUUGCGCAAUGGGGGAUAAAUAUUCUUGGGCCCUUUCCAUAGACAUCAUAAAUAUUCUUGGCCCCUUUCCACAG
rnacentral:lncRNA from 1 species